rnacentral:rRNA from 1 species
UACGUAGGGUGCAAGCGUUAAUCGGAAUUACUGGGCGUAAAGCGUGCGCAGGCGGUUUUGUAAGUCUGAUGUGAAAUCCUCGGGCUCAACCUGGGAAUUGCGUUGGAGACUGCAAGGCUAGAAUCUGGCAGAGGGGGGUAGAAUUCCACGUGUAGCAGUGAAAUGCGUAGAGAUGUGGAGGAACACCGAUGGCGAAGGCAGCCCCCUGGGUCAAGAUUGACGCUCAUGCACGAAAGCGUGGGGAGCAAACAGG